GGUGCUGUCGCGCUUCUGGGUCAAAUCUGAGGCUGGUCCCGUUUCCGUGAGAGUUUUUGGUUUUGCUGAGGGUGGUAUUGUAAAGGCCUGCCUUCCCCACAUGAAGUCUCAGUAACUCUGAAGAGCAAAGUGAGAAGAGGGCAGUGUUACACUGGGAGAAACCACUUGGAGAUGUGCCAGAUUUCCCCACGUCUCCUGGUAUUAGUUCCUGGUUUGUUCCUUAAUGUGAAUGAAAACCAUUUUGAGCAGACGGAAGAGCAAUACCGGAAGGCUGGGAUUCUGAGUUUCACCUAGAACGGAGAAGCCAGGACUUGGGAUUUUCCCCUCAAUCACCAUGCUGUGCUGAUGUGAGGAGCUCUGGGAAAUUAACCAACUGGCGGAGAAGCAACAGAUCUGAAUGCAUGGGGGAAAAACCCAGUUGCUCAAGCCUGUCAAAAUGUAUAUCGAAAAAUUUUCAUCAACUCGCUUUGAAACAUAUUCUCUAACCUAAACCCAGUGUCAGUGGACUGUGGCAGGUGUUCCACAUGGUAGUUUAAGAAUGUCUGUGGGAGACAUGGAAGUAAUUCAAACAAAAGAGGGCCUUU